ensembl:snoRNA SNORA47 small nucleolar RNA, H/ACA box 47
CGGAGGGCUGAGAAGGUGAGGCAGUUCUGAACCAUGCUGCCUUCCACCGGUUAAGACCUCCGAGAGUGAAGGCUUGCCAGGGCAGAGGAGGUCCCUCUGCCGCCCUCAGAGGGGCAGCACUCUGCUGGCCAACACUUG